UAACCUGCUAAAUAGCCCGUAUUGCUUUGGCAGUACGCUGGCUUCUUAGAGGGACUAUCGGCUCAAGCCGAUGGAAGUUUGAGGCAAUAACAGGUCUGUGAUGCCCUUAGAUGUUUUGGGCCGCACGCGCGCUACACUGACAGAGCCAGCGAGUACUCCCUUGGCCGGAAGGCCCGGGUAAUCUUGUUAAACUCUGUCGUGCUGGGGAUAGAGCAUUGCAAUUAUUGCUCUUCAACGAGGAAUCCCUAGUAAGCGCAAGUCAUCAGCUUGCGUUGAUUACGUCCCUGCCCUUUGUACACACCGCCCGUCGCU
rnacentral:rRNA from 1 species